AACGAACGCUGGCGGCAUGCCUAACACAUGCAAGUCGAACGAAGGCUUCGGCCUUAGUGGCGCACGGGUGCGUAACGCGUGGGAAUCUGCCCUUUGGUUCGGAAUAACAGCUGGAAACGGCUGCUAAUACCGGAUGAUGACGAAAGUCCAAAGAUUUAUCGCCAGAGGAUGAGCCCGCGUUGGAUUAGGUAGUUGGUGGGGUAAAGGCCUACCAAGCCGACGAUCCAUAGCUGGUCUGAGAGGAUGAUCAGCCACACUGGGACUGAGACACGGCCCAGACUCCUACGGGAGGCAGCAGUAGGGAAUAUUGGACAAGGGGCGCAAGCCUGAUCCAGCAAUGCCGCGUGAGUGAUGAAGGCCCUAGGGUUGUAAAGCUCUUUUACCCGGGAAGAUAAUGACUGUACCGGGAGAAUAAGCCCCGGCUAACUCCGUG
rnacentral:rRNA from 1 species